CAUAUUUUUAGUUCUCACAAUUGCCCAUGUUCCUUUUUUGACAAUUUCCAAAUGUAAAUUAAGUAAUGCACUCUUAGCAUAGAAUGAAUAUAUUCACUAUCAAAACUCGAACCAUCUACAUAUUUUCUACUCAUUAAUGUACAUCAAAUCAUCACAUUUUUUUAAACCAUUUGCUACCAAAGGUUAUACUAUGAAAACAGAGGCUUUCCACAUUCCCUUCCCCUUUUAUUUCUUCUUGUUUAAUCUUUUUCUUUAUUUUCUGAAAAAUUUCCUUCAAUCCUUGUUACUUCUUAUUCCUCAUUCUUGAUGGUAUCCCCAAUUGCUUCUCAUCUUUCUUCUCGGAGCUCUAAAGCUUUUCAAGAACUCAGAAGUCGGUUGUCCCCCUCAAUACUUUUAUCCAUCCCCUUUAUUCCAAAGAAGGAAAUAGAUGGAAAACUGAAAUAAUUUUUGCUCAAAGUAAUAUUGUUCUCAAUGCUUAGCAUAUUAAUGACAUGUGCUUCCCACCACCUUAUCUGGUUGUUUGUGUCCUUUUUUGCUCUUAAGCUUCAUACGAUGCAAUUAACCCCUGACGCACUCUUGGCCAUUACCGGUGUUGCUCUCCUUAGUGUCCUAAAAGACUUUCCCCUUGAUGUUGGAGAUUUCCUUAGCAUUUUUAGUUUUCAUAAAAUUUAUGAUGUUAUUUUUGACAUCAUCCACCCGAGCUCCACCUGUAUUUUCAAUAAUUACGAUGAAUCGUCUUCUUGACCCACUGAUGCUUUGUUCAUCUUAAGUUGCAACUGGUAUCCAACCCACAUCUCUUCCUAAGCAUUCCCAAUUGCCUGAGCCUUUUUUCAAGGUGAACAUUAGUUUCCUCAAAUCAAAGCCACACUCUUAAUCUGACAUCUUCAAGAGAAUGGUAUUCUUCACUCUCACCUUGAGGAUGAAAUAAGCAUCCAUGCCCUUUGUCAUCCCAAUAUUUUACAAGGAUCAUUUCUUUAUUUUUCCUCCCCAGAUCCCUAAACCAUUGAUAAAACACCAGUCGAACAACAAUAAAAUUACUUAAAAAUUAUUUUGUAGACUUAUCCUUGCAAAGAGUUUUAGAGCUUCAAGCUUCCUUGUCAUUUGACUUAUCACUAAAACAAUCUAUUAAAUUUACUUUUUCUUCAACGAGAAAAAAUCGUGCUGCUUCUUCUUCCUUUCCCUCUUUCGACCCUUUAUCAAAAAAUUGUUCAUUGAUAUGUUGCAACCCUUCACAGGUUGUUGCCUCUUUGUUUCACCAACUACAUCAAUCGAUAUGAAGACUCUUCCUUCAAGGAAGUUCAUCUACAUCAUUUAAGCAAUGAAGAGGGAGCUUUUGACGGCCUUCAAGUUGAGUACCAGAGUUUUGCCUCUAAUUCUCUUUGUUAGCAUAGAGAGAAAGAUUUAAAAAUUUGAAGGCCUUAAGUUGUUGCUCUUAAGGCUUAUGCAAAGAUCACUACUUUGGAAGGAGAUACCCCUUACCCCAUCCUGAUCGAUCCUAGGAGUGGGGAAGGAUAUUGUGCAGCUUUGACUUCAGGUAAUCCCAACCGUCAAUCUUUCUUUACAUAUCGAGCCAGCGAUCCUUCUCCCAUUAUUACUAGGAUCUAAUGUUGCGAGUUGAGACUCAUCAAUGAUUGGAAGACGCUCUAGGUUUCGGCUAGCACAAGGAGAGGUAAGAUUUAGAUGACUAUUUAUGGGCGCAAUGAGUGGAGUUUGAUCUAGAAGAUAUGUAUUACCAGGAGGACCAUUUAACCUUAAAACGAUCAAAGGGGAAGAAAACGCCAAGCUCAAGUGUCAAAUUUUUUUAAUUAUUUUAAGAUGCUUUGAAUUAAGACCACAUAUGUUUAAAUUUUGCAUUUAAAUAUUAUAUUUUAUUUCAAACAA